AGUGAACGCUGGCGGUAGGCCUAACACAUGCAAGUCGAACGGCAGCACAGUAAGAGCUUGCUCUUACGGGUGGCGAGUGGCGGACGGGUGAGGAAUACAUCGGAAUCUACUUUUUCGUGGGGGAUAACGUAGGGAAACUUACGCUAAUACCGCAUACGACCUACGGGUGAAAGCAGGGGAUCUUCGGACCUUGCGCGAUUGAAUGAGCCGAUGUCGGAUUAGCUAGUUGGCGGGGUAAAGGCCCACCAAGGCGACGAUCCGUAGCUGGUCUGAGAGGAUGGACAGCCACACUGGAACUGAGACACGGUCCAGACUCCGACGGGAGGCAGCAGUGGGGAAUAUUGGACAAUGGGCGCAAGCCUGAUCCAGCCAUACCGCGUGAGUGAAGAAGGCCUUCGGGUUGUAGAGCCCUUUUGUUGUGAAAGAAAAGCAGCAGGUUAAUACCCCGCUGUUCUGACGGUACCCAAAGAAUAAGCACCGGCUAACUUCGUG
rnacentral:rRNA from 1 species